GCGAUGAAGAAGAAGACUGCAUUACGGAAGGAGCAGGUGAAGGAGAAAGAGAGAUCUUGCCGGAUCGGUUCCAAAGCAACAUGCAAGAAAUCCUUCGUAAAAGCCCCGGAGAGAGUGUUGAGCGAAUCGAAGCAUCCGAAGUGGAAUUCG